UGGCUACGGAUCAUUGGAAUCUGGUAAAAAAAAUGACAGAAAUAUUGACAGGCAAAGACCGCUCCUUCCAAGCUCGUAUGUCCUCUGGUGAUAGCCAUUGCCCCAUUAUCCUCGGAGAAUUGCCCAAUCUCUCUCCUCCAUGCAACUGGCGAGCAAACCAACAAAACCACUACACUGACCAAAACCACCGUUUUCUCUUUUGAAAUCUCUUUCAGGGAAUAAAAAAGAAAAAAGAAAUCUCUUUCUUUCUCCUCUAAAACCUCACCUGCAAUGGCUUUCUUCUCAUUUGGGCUAUACCAUCUCCAACCAACCAAUUUAAGAAACAAUCCGUCCGCUUUCCUUCUUCCCUUAAUCUGUCUUCACUUCAUUCUCAGUUUUGUUUGGCUUUAUCUCCACUUAGAUUAGGUUCAAGAUUGCUUGGCAGUGGUCUUCUUGCAAGAGCUGAAGAUAAGGCUAGAGGGUAUUCUUCUUCUUCAACUCAGGGACAAGCUCAACAGCCCAGUAGUGCAAAACAGCUUCAGGAGCUGACAACAGAAGCUGGGUCAUGUGAUCCUUUAUGUUCACUUGACGAAACAAGUUCACAAGAUUUUGCAGCCACGUACCAGCCAAAGACUGAUUUGCUAAAAGCUCUUGCAGUAUUCGCAGCAGCUGCAACUGGGGCUCCAGCGAUUAACCAUUCUUGGGUUGCAGCCAAUCAGGAUCUUGCUGAAGUCUACAGAGUUACCGUGUUUGCAUUGCAGAAUGCAUAUUGGUUAUUAUCUGAAGUUCUAGCUGCUUGUAUAGGACUAAUUUAUUGAUAUGAGCUGACAACAGAAGCUGGGUCAUGUGAUCCUUUAUGUUCACUUGACGAAACAAGUUCACAAGAUUUUGCAGCCACGUACCAGCCAAAGACUGAUUUGCUAAAAGCUCUUGCAGGAUUCACAGCAGCUGCAACUGGGGCUCCAGCGAUUAACCAUUCUUGGGUUGCAGCCAAUCAGGAUCUUGCUAUGGCAUUACUCUUUGGAAUUGGAUAUGCUGCCAUCAUUUUUGAAGAGUCUCUAGCUUUCAAUAAAAGUGGAGCAGGAUAUUGAUGGCUGUGAGCUUAUGGGUAGUUCGAAGCAUUGGGGCACCUUCGACUGAUAUAGCUGUUUCGGAGUUGACACAUGCUUCUGCAGAAGUAAGUGAGGUCGUGUUUUUCCUGCUUGGUGCCAUGACCAUCGUGGAGAUUGUUGAUGCUCAUCAAGGUUUUAGGCUGGUCACUGACAAUAUAACCACUCGAAAGCCCAAGACUCUGCUUUGAGUGGUUGUAGAUCCAAGGAACAGUAGAUCAAGAUCUGCAUCAACCCAGUCAGAGUUACAUCAUUACUAUCUUGGGGAAAGCUGACUCAGAAGGUUUUCCAAAUAUGUAAGAGGGAAGGAAUGCUUCAAGAAUCGAGUUCUUGAUAAGCUCUGCAAUUAGACCGAUUCACUGAAGCUAUCGUUCUAUACUAUUUGGUGUGAGGAGAACUUCCAAUUCUGACGAAACAAUUUGGUUAUUUAGAUCUUGGCUGUUGAAGCUGUAAGAGCAAUUUUUUACAAGGUGCAAGGAAUGGGAGGUUGAUCCACAGUUAGGUUUUGGUGUUUUUGGUCCAAAGUUGGUUAUGAAGUGACUGUUUCAAAGUGGUUCAGAGAACUAAAACCCUUAGUCAGAGAUAUUCCAGACUCACCAGAUAGGAACCCAAUGGCUCUAUGGAGAGCUCGUGCAGCUGUAUCACCUCACUUGAACAGGCUUUUGCAACCUGCGUCUUUCCCCUCUGUCAAUAAUGCUUUCCGUGGUUUCUCUGCUGAAGGCAAGCCAUCUAUAAAAUCAGGAAUAGGAAGGGGCUGAAGCAAUCCAACUGGAAUUAAUGUAUCAGCUUUGGUUCAUUGACAAACAUCACAAGAGGCAACAUACUAUUUCACAGACUGAUACAUGGAUGGCCAAUAAAAUUGUUGCGUGAGGCACUUGUAGGUAUGAAGCGCUCCUGAGUGGCCUCUAAUAGGUGUAUUAUGAAAUUCGUGGAGCAGUUGGUGAACAAUCAGUGUAUUGGGGGGAACAACUCGAUGUUUGUAACACACAAGUCCAUUGAGCCAAAGGUUGAGACACAAAGAUGGCCUCGAGGCUUGGGCUACUAAGGACCUGUGACAAUUCAUCAGUGUUGGUGUUUUCUCGACCAGGCUUGUAAUGAAUGUCAUAAUCAUACCCAAAUCCCGGUGCAAGUGCUGAUCUUGCUGUGAUGCAAGAAGGACUUGCACACAUCUUACUUGUCGGUAAAAGGCUUUCCUAAAGUAUAUUGAUUUCAGUGUCAUUCGUUGUGCGGUGAUUGCAAGCCCUGGUUUCACUAAGGUUGGUGGCUUGGGAGAUGUUGUGACCGGUCUUGGAAAAGCACUCAAAAAGAGAGGACACCUUGUGGAAAUUAUUCUGCCAAAAUAUGACUGCAUGCAAUAUGAUGGUCUUCCUGUUUACUUUAUUGAGCCUCAACACCCUGACAAGUUCUUUUGGAGAGGGCAGUUUUACGGAGAACAUGAUGAUUUCUAUCAUUUUUCAUUUUUCAGCCGUGCUGCACUUGAAUUGCUUCUUCAAGCUGGCAAAAAACCAGACAUAAUUCAUUGCCAUGACUAAUUUAAAAUUUGCUUCUAUAUGAAUGGGUCAUUUGAUUCUCUGUUUGGAGUUUUCUUGAAUAUUGUUAUUUUCUUUGUGAAUGUGCAUCCAAUCCUAGAAGUCUUUCAUAUUUUAUUGAAUACGUGGGCUGCAUAACAAGAAUGGUGCCACAGAAAGGUGUACACCUUAUUAGACAUGCAAUAUACCGUACCCUAGAGUUGGGAGGACAAUUUCUACUACUUGGCUCAAGCCCAGUUGCACAUGUAUUUCUCUUUAUGCUACUGAAAAAUAUGCAAUGCUUUGUAUUUUGCAUAUAAUGUUGUCUACAAGAUUUUGAGAACAAACACACACAAGCGCGCACGCGAACAUAUGCAUUUGGAGAAUGCAUUCCCAUGGUUGCUUCCUCCUAAAGCAUCCAAACACUAUUUCAAGGUGCUUUUAGAUGCUUAACUGGAAAACAGAAAAAACAUCUCAAUUGACUGCCUUACUUGGAGAAUCUAAGAUAGUAUUUUGCAAAAAGAAUAAAAAGUCUUGAUCACUAUGCGUAAUGGAAGUAACAUGCUUGCUAUGUGGACAAACAAAUACAUAUGCAGAUAGUUGAAUUUAUGAAAUCUACAUGUGAUUUUGUUAAUGCACACCUUUGGACAUGAGCACUGGUUUUCAUUUACUAAACUAUUCUUUUCCUACUCCUCUGUCAGUUCCAAGCUUACUCCUCUCGACAGAUACUUUUAGUUUACUUGUUCAUUUCUUUUGUAGAGGGAAUUUGAGGUAUCGCAAAUCACUUUCAGAAUCAUGAGCACAUUCGGCUGAUAUUGAAGAUGAUUAACCUCUUUCUCAUUCCAUUUAUGCAGCAUCUGACAUGUUCUGUCAUCCCAUCUAUCUUUGAGCCUUGUGGCCUUACACAGGGAUCGAAUGGUGCUUUAGAACAUGCAUUUAACCAUUACAGGAACAAUCCUGAGAACUGUAGCGACGAUUUGAUUUCAACUACCUGUAAUUGUUUCAUUUUCAUGGAAUUUUCUGUGGGAAAUUUAUCCUUUCAGAGUAGAAGAUGACAGUUCUUUUACAAGACAGUUGCAUAGAAGAUGCACUUUUAGCAUGCAAAAAUUACAUUAUGCUUUGAAUUAAAU